CCUACGGGGUGCAGCAGUGGGGAAUAUUGGGCAAUGGGCGCAAGCCUGACCCAGCAAAGCCGCGUGAAGGAAGAAGGCCCUCGGGUUGUAAACUUCUUUUAUCAGGGACGAAACAAAUGACGGUACCUGAUGAAUAAGCCACGGCUAACUACGUGCCAGCAGCCGCGGUAAUACGUAGGUGGCAAGCGUUAUCCGGAUUUACUGGGUGUAAAGGGCGUGUAGGCGGGAGAGGAGGUCAGACGUGAAAUUCCAGGGCUCAACCGUGGAACUGCGUUUGAAACUGUUCUUCUUGAGUGAUGGAGAGGCAGGCGGAAUUCCGUGUGGAGCGGUGAAAUGCGUAGAUAUACGGAGGAACACCAGUGGCGAAGGCGGCCUGCUGGACAGUAACUGACGCUGAGGCGCGAAAGCGUGGGGAGCAAACAGGAUUAGAUACCCCAGUAGUC
rnacentral:rRNA from 1 species